rnacentral:rRNA from 1 species
UACGUAGGGUGCAAGCGUUGUCCGGAAUUAUUGGGCGUAAAGAGCUCGUAGGCGGUCUGUCGCGUCUGCUGUGAAAACUCAGGGCUUAACCCUGAGCUUGCAGUGGGUACGGGCAGACUAGAGUGCGGUAGGGGAGACUGGAAUUCCUGGUGUAGCGGUGAAAUGCGCAGAUAUCAGGAGGAACACCGGUGGCGAAGGCGGGUCUCUGGGCCGUAACUGACGCUGAGGCGCGAAAGCGUGGGGAGCGAACAGG